AUUGAACGCUGGCGGCAGGCUUAACACAUGCAAGUCGAGCGGGGUGAUGGUGCUUGCACUAUCACUUAGCGGCGGACGGGUGAGUAAUGCUUAGGAAUCUGCUUAUUAGUGGGGGACAACAUCUCGAAAGGGAUGCUAAUACCGCAUACGUCCUACGGGAGAAAGCGGGGGAUCACUUGUGACCUUUCGCUAAUAGAUGAGCCUAAGUCGGAUUAGUUAGUUGGUGGGGUAAAGGCCUACCAAGGCGACGAUCUGUGGCGGGUCGGAGAGGAUGAUCCGCCACACUGGGACUGAGCCACGGCCCAGACUCCUACGGGAGGCAGCAGUGGGGAAUAUUGGACAAUGGGGGGAACCCUGAUCCAGCCAUGCCGCGUGUGUGAAGAAGGCCUUAUGGUUGCAAAGCACUUUAAGCGAGGAGGAGGCUCUUUUGGUUAAUACCCAAGAUGAGUGGACGUUACUCGCAGAAUAAGCACCGGCUAACUCUGUGCCAGCCGCCGCCGUAA
rnacentral:rRNA from 1 species